GCUUGAGCCACAUCCCCAGCCCGGGAUGAUGGAAAUAUUCUAAAAUUAGAUUACGGUGAUGGUUGCACAACUCUGUAAAUAUGCUAUAAAACAUGGAAUCUUAAGCUUUAAAUAGGUGAGCUUCAUAGCCUGUAAAGUGCGUGUCGAUGAAGCUGUUUAUCCCAGAGAAGGCAGGCACUGGGCAGAUGAAGGAGGGAGGAAAGACUUUCUAUUUUUUUCCCCUCUCCUUUCCAGGUUUCAAAUCCCAUGACUAAUACCAUCUAUUCAAAAGCAAAUUUAAAACCAAAGAAUCCAGCAAAAAAAAAAAAAUUUUUUUAAAGGCCUCUGAUUCUCCGCUCCCCACCGCCCCCCGCCCCGUUUGGGGUGGGGAAGAUGAGAGGGAGGGACCUGCCACCCACCCCGGUCACGCUGUGAAGCAAUGGCUGAGUGCACAACAGGUUCAUGGGACAAGGGCAGCCUUAGAGAGGUUCCAAGACCCAUCCGUGCCCUGGAAGCCACUAAAGCCAUUGGACUGGACUAUCUAGUGCCGCUUGACCUUGGCAGACACCCAAGGGAGCAGAGGAGACUAUCCCUAAGUCCCCCUCCUCCAUGGCCACCUGGACCUAUGUAAAAUCCCAGAGCCACCAUUCAUCCCCAAAGAUGGGCAAAACGUCCCAGAGAGUGACAGCCACCAGGCAGAACCGGAGCUUGAGAAAGAUGCUGUGCCGAUGAGCAGAAAAGAAGGGAGAAUUCCUCUCACAUGCUGGGCCCAUGGGCUGGGCCCACGCCUUGGCUGCAUCAGGGCCAGAUAGAGCCCAGAGGUCCUCCCCUGCACCCUGAAACCAGAGGGACGAUUCUUAGAGCCCUCAGCCUGAGCUUCUUGGCACACUCGGCUAGUUAACAGGUGCUGUACCAAGAAAGACCUCUGUGGUCAAAUACGUUUGAAAAAUGCUGCGUUAAAGAAAGUCAAAGCCAGACCAUGAUUUACAUUACUCAGAAGAGAUCCAAACCGUGUCCGAUUCAUUAAGUCCAGGGGCUCCCUACACAGCCACUCGGAACAAGCCCCAUGGCAAAUAAGCAGGAAAAAAAUAUUUCUGUCCCAAAUCUAAAACUAAUUGGAUUUUUUUUUUUUUUUUUUUAGUAGUCACUGUUGCAGAUUUGGUAAAGGCCAUCUUGAAUUUCCUCAAUCUAUCUGUACUUGCCUUUUUAAAAUCGGCAUCUGGGCUGGGGUUGGGGCUCAGAGGUAGAGCGCUCAUCUAGCAUGCUUGAGGCACUGGGUUCGAUCCUCAGCACCAUAUAAAAAUAAAAAUAUUGUGUCCACCUACAACUAAAAGAUAAAUAUUUUCUUUAAAAAAAUUGGCAUCUGAAGAUUGUCAUGCAUAAAGUUUGACUAAUAUUCUGUUCUGAUUGCCUUGAAAGAGGAAGAAAAGACUUGAAUUUCUCAAUAUCAGUUUGAGUAAGAUUGUUUAUGAGAACAAGCCUUCUCAACAUGACUAUUAAAGUAAGAACGCUAACAGUUUAAGAACAGAACGGGACCCAAAACAACAGCUUUCUGUUAGUAAACCAAUACUUGUGAUGCGUUUCUUGUAUGCAAAGCGUUUUUUUUUCUGUUUGAGAAAAACAGCAGCACUUGUUAGAGUAAAUAAACUAAAGGUGGUUCAUUCACGUCUUACUGGUUUUAUAUUUUUGUCCUGAUUUGUAGACAUUCUAGCUUUUAUUGUUGCAUGAGAGCUAUAGGCAAAAAAGAAUAUAUACCUACUUUUAUGUAUAUAUAAACUUACUGGUUUUAUAUUUUCGUUCUAAUUUGUAAACUUUCUAGCUUUUAUUGUUGCAUGAGAACUAUAGGCCACAAGAAUAUAUACCUACUUUUAUGUUGGAACAAAUAUGAGAAGCUAUUAAAAAUUAAAACAUAUUGAGUUUAAAAAAGCUAAAGCCUGGGGUUGUGGCUCAGCGGUAGAGCACUCGCCUAGCACAUGAGAGGCCCUGGGUUCGAUCCUCAGCACCACAUAAAAACAAAUAAAUAAAGUUAUUGGAUCCAACCACAACUAAAAAAUAAAUAUUUUAAAUAAAUAAGUAAAUAAAUAAAUAAAUAAGCUAAAGCCCUAUUUUAACCUCAGAAUUUCUCAGAGCCUUUGCUUAUGACUCUUCAAGAAAGGGUCCAGCCGUUUCAAAGCUUUAGUGCUUUAGUCUCUGAACAACGGGAGCUAGAAGGUUUCCCUCUCCAGUGAGUCCCUAGAAGCCUCUGUGGGUGCCAAGUCACAAUUCUAGCUAGUUCUUGACAUCUGGUCCCAGAGUCCUGGGGGGAGGUUUCAUCCUGGGUCAAGGUGGCCUGGUCACUGCUUUGUCAAAUGCUCUAAGAAAUUAUGUGUAUUUGAGCCCUUGGCUGGCUAUACAGGUCAGUACGGGUCUGUAGUCCCCGGUUGCAAAUGAAAUUCAGAGAUAUGACAGGCUUCAAAGCUGGCGUGCUAGGGAAAGGAACAGGAGAGACAUGUGGAUUUAAGGUGCAGCCCUGGAUGCUGGACAGUCCCUACUCACAUCCAGCCUUGGGUUCAUCUGCUCUAAGCAACAGAUGUUUCCAGGUAAAUUUUAUCUUUGACCAAGCCUCCCAAACCCGUCCUGAUGAAAUGUUACAAGAAAACACAGUCCCCUUUC
rnacentral:lncRNA from 1 species